AGCAAGAGUGGCCGAAAUGGGGCCCUUGCAGAGCAGGAGAGAAGCAGCUCCAGGAGAGGGUGGGGGGGAGGUGCGAGGGCAGGGAGGGACCCCACUUUUCCCUCCACACGUACCCCGUCCCCCUCGUAUUGCUGGGCAGCCAGUGGCAAGGAAGGCACAGAGGGAAGGUUAUUGCGAGCGGCCCCCGCUUUGGGGUCAGCCCAACCGAGGCUUCCGGGUCAGACCGAGGGGCAGUUCCAAAGGCACCUGGUUUUAACCAUGAGGGAUCGGGGGGUGGGGGGGAGCCCUUGGA